GUGGCGGGGCCGAGGAGCUGCCUUCAGCGGCUGACGGGUUGCUCGGGUUGCUCGGGUUGCUCGCGGGGGCUGCGGGCCUGCUCGGACGCCCGCGGGGGCCCGUCUUCACAAAGCGCCUGUGUUCCUGAAAGUCCGGAUGCAAAGGAGAAGCCUUCACCCCCCCACAAGAAAAAACAAACAAAAAAAAGAAGCCUUCACCCCAGCAAAAACCACACGCUACGAUGACAGUUGGUCUUGCAAACUGCCUGUGCUCAGAACUCCGAUGUGCAGCCCAAACUGUGACUACUCUUUGUCAGGAGGCGUGACCUUUUAGACCUUGGAUUCUUUAGAGCUGCUGCACACUGGCACCAACCGCCUAAACACAAAUACAAGGCUCUUCCUGAGAGGGUGUCUCUAGUGUCCAGGAGUUUAAUUUCAUAAGCUGUUGUGCCUGCUCCUUUACAAAAUAUGCUGACCCAUAUAAACUGAUUCUGGAGUGUCACUUCUUAGUCUGGGAGAACAGUGGGAGUUUGUACCAGAACUUUGGGACGUCCUUUACACAGUUAACCUAACGAUGGGGUUAAAUGUUUUUAGAUUUUGUAUCUGUGAGCGCUCAAUGUUGAAAUAUCUUGUAAAGAAAAUUUAGGUCUACGGUGUAAGAGAUGAAAAUUGCAAACAAUAAGGAGGAAUUAGGAAGCCAGAGCUGGGCAGGGCUUUAGUCUCGCACUCUAGCCUUGCCCUCAGAAAACUAGGCCAAGAAUUGCCCCAUCUCCCACAAGGGCCAUUUGGGGGCAGUUAAAGACAUGCUCUGCUCCAUCUUUUCUGUUCCUAUUCUUUUUGGUUUUCAGGCUAUGGAGUUGGACUUCAGACUCCAUACUUAAGACUAUGUUCUGAAUGCUUCACUUUAAAAUUAAAUGCAGCCAAUUGUUGACCUUCAUGGCAGGUUUUCAUUAGAGGUCCCUUCCAACACCAAGCAAGAUUAGGAAGUUAGAACAUUUCUCUUUGGUGCCUUCUUAGCUUCCCUUUCUGAACAUAUCUCCCCCCUACUCCCUGUCCUGGAUCCAUCUAGGAGCUCAAUUAUAUAUUUAGAUAAGCUCUUGUGUUUAGCUUAUCUAAAUAUCUAGAGAAAAAGACUUCAUAACUUCAUUGCUUAACUCUCAAGUAUCUUAAGGUAGAAUCAUGUGGUUUUUGCCAGUACAAAGUUUAGAGCCAGCCAGAUUUUCCUAAGUGAGAAUAUUGGCCUCAUUUCUUCCUUGCUGUGUGGAUUUGAGCAACUUACAAAUAACCUUCUUUGCUUCAGUUUUAAUUGUUCCUCAAAAAAUGGUGUUUUUUUUAAUUUUUAUUUUUGUUUUUUGUUAAGUAUUAUAUGGGUUAGUAUACAUGUGUUUGGCAGUUUUGUGUUUGCUAGUAUUAUUAAUGACUGACUUAUUCGUGUACCCUGAAGUGAUCAGCAUAUUGCUUGGCACGUAAUAGGUGUUUAAUAAUUACCUGUUAAUCAUUCAAUAUUGAAAUCAACUUUGUCUAACAGAUCAUCCAAGUUUCUCAUGCUUUACUGACAAUCCUCCAUGGAAACAACAUAGUUCUUCACCAUGAUGACCUGUAUGCUACUCUGGUUGUUAUCUCUUUCAGAGGCCCUGGGAAAUCACAUUUGCUUUGGGCCAAGACUCACUGAUUGGGACAUUUGAAGAGCUUUGUUGUUUCAUCUCAUCUGAAUCCCCAGAAGUAGGCCCCAGCAUCAUACAAAAAUCCAGGAGGCAGAUGCAGAAUUCAAUCAGCUGUCAUUGUCACUGUCAUCAGUGAGAGCUGUGGUCCCAGCAGUAGGAAGAAUGUGAAGAUGAUGCAGAAUUCCAUCAGGUUCAAAAGCCUGAAGUGGACACCUUGUCUUCCUAGAGUUGGGUUGAGAAUUGUUCCUCAGUGGAUGAACAUCUAUUAGCUGUAGCAGGAUGUAGAAUCAAGUGAAGAAAUACUCAAGAGAACCAAACUCAUAACAGCAGUAUCUCCAUACUAAGGGAUUAUCUGUGAAUAUGUGUGUAUUGUAUGCAUAAAUGUAAUCUAAUAUGACUAAAUGCACUUAAUAAAACAACAAUAUUAUAA